GAUGAAGAACGUAGCGAAAUGCGAUAAGUAAUGUGAAUUGCAGAAUUCAGUGAAUCAUCGAAUCUUUGAACGCACAUUGCGCCCGCCAGUAUUCUGGCGGGCAUGCCUGUUCGAGCGUCAUUUCAACCAUCAAGCCCCCGGCUUGUGUUGGGGACCUGCGGCUGCCGCAGGCCCUGAAAAGCAGUAGCGGGCUCGCUGUCACACCGAGCGUAGUAGCAUACAUCUCGCUCUGGGCGUGCUGCGGGUUCCGGCCGUUAAACCACCUUCAUAACCCAAGGUUGACCUCGGAUCAGGUAGGAAGACCCGCUGAACUUAAGCAUAUCAAUAAGCGGAGGA
rnacentral:misc_RNA from 1 species